rnacentral:rRNA from 1 species
CUACGGGAUGCAGCAGUGGGGAAUAUUGGGCAAUGGGCGAAAGCCUGACCCAGCAACGCCGCGUGAUUGAAGAAGGCUUUCGGGUUGUAAAAAUCUGUCCUUGGGGACGAAGAAGUGACGGUACCCAAGGAGGAAGCCCCGGCUAACUACGUGCCAGCAGCCGCGGUAAUACGUAGGGGGCGAGCGUUGUCCGGAAUUACUGGGCGUAAAGGGUGCGCAGGCGGCGCUUUAAGUCAGAUGUGAAAUACCCAGGCUUAACCUGGGGGGUGCAUUUGAAACUGGAGCGCUUGAGUGCAGGAGAGGAAAGUGGAAUUCCUAGUGUAGCGGUGAAAUGCGUAGAUAUUAGGAGGAACACCAGUGGCGAAGGCGACUUUCUGGACUGUAACUGACGCUGAGGCACGAAAGCGUGGGGAGCAAACAGGAUUAGAUACCCGAGUAGUC